rnacentral:lncRNA from 1 species
GGGGUUCAGUCUGCCGCUGCAAAUACCAAAAGCUGUCCUCAUUGAGUCAUCCCUCCCAGAGCAGGAAGAGCAGAGGUUCUGGGAAACAACCCCAAGGAGAGAGACAGGGCAUUUAUAAAACAGCAUGUAAGCAUCUCUGCAGUUGCUGUCCCCAGAGCCCACUUCCUGGAUAUUGCCAGCUGCCUGGACCAACCUUUCCGAAAGAUCAGCCAGGUCACAGUGAGGGUCAAAGGUGAGCCACGGGCCUCAGCAGCUGCUGAGUGGAUGGUGCGUGGGACUCAGGAAGUGACGUUCUCUCCCCGCCCAGCCCCCUUCCUCAGUCUAUUGCUCCGAAUCCUGGACCACACACUGCGUGCUGAGGCUCCAUCGCUGUGCUGGGUGAGGGGUGGAGGACUGUCCAGCUGACAGCCACCCAGGAGGCCUGCCCAGGAGACCCAGCCCAGCCUCUCCUUGGAACCUGAAGAACUCCAGGCAGCUGAUGGGACACUGGGGCCCAGCAGGAGGCCACUGGAGGCUCCAAGGGCUCUGAAAUGUUGAGAACUUCCCUGCAGGUACCAGCGAAGAGGGCAAGAACACAGCACUACUUCCUUGGAUACUGUUUCCCUCCUCAGAGGGGUUUUCUGAGCUGCCCUGGGUCCUGUGAGGAAGAUCUCCCCUUCCUGUAAAGACACCAGUCCUACUGGAUCAGGGCCCACCCGUGUGACUUCACUUUUACUUGAGUACCUCUCACAGACCCUAACUCCAAAUCAGGUCACUUGCUGAGGUACUGCAUGUGAAGACUUUGACAUUUGAAUUUUGAGGGGGCCACCGUUUAACCUGAACCACCAAGGACAGAGCCAAAGACCCUGGGUGACAGGCCCAGAACAGGACCUGGUGGAGGCUCUUCUUUAGGGGAGAGAGGGAAAUGGGAGCCACCACUGGCAGAGCCUGAAGGCAGGGCAGCCAGAAAGAAGCUGUGGGAGUCCCCACCAUGGAAGACCCUGCCGAGCAUCCUGUGUCUCCUGAAGCAGACCCUGACAUGAGGACUGGGGGCACGUGUUUAUUAAGGGCGAUCCCCGGAAGGAGGAGAUAACCAGGCAGAAGUCCUAGCAGAGUAUGCCCACGCUGGUUAGUGCUGCUGCAAAGAUGAGCCGAAGACCAUGAGAGACCUCCAGGUGGUCCUUCUGGGGAGAAGAAAUGGGUUUUGGCCCCAAAUCCUUCUGCUGCAUUUUUCCCCUAUCCCUGGGAAGCCAUGAGACCUCAAACCUGUGUUCCCAAGGAGGCGAGCUGCUGUUCCCAGGUGAUGAUAUGAUGUGCUUGGGGAAAGUAAGUGGCUGCCAGACAUGGCUGAGAGCUGUUGUCACUGCCGUCAAGUGCAUGUCUCCAAGCCAUAUCACACGGCGUCCCUCGAUGUGAGGCCACAUGGCAAGUGGGCCGUGGAUCUCCCUCUGCCCUUUGCAAGCACGUAAGACAGCAGAUUUUGCAGAUACCUUGUGGCGCAGGGGAAUUUCCUUUGGCCAGGUCUGAAGAAAUAAAGCAGCAGGCACCGAGAACAAAGCCAAGGCUUUCAAAAGACAAGGAGCCAAAAAACUUACUCAAAAUAAAAGUAGUUUUAAAAUGUC